rnacentral:rRNA from 1 species
GAUGAACGCUGACAGAAUGCUUAACACAUGCAAGUCUUUGGCGAAGCUGUGCUUGCACAGCCUAGCCAAGGCGGACGGGUGAGUAACACGUAAGGAACUUGCCCUGCAGUCAGGGAUAACAGACGGAAACGACUGAUAAGACCUGGUAAAGUCAGGCGGACUCAUGUCCAGCCUGAUGAAAAGAGAUGCUGCAGGAGAGCCUUGCGUCCUAUUAGCUUGUUGGUGGGGUAACGGCCCACCAAGGCGAUGAUAGGUAGCCGGCCUGAGAGGGUGGACGGCCACAAGGGGACUGAGAUACGGCCCUUACUCCUACGGGAGGCAGCAGUGGGGAAUAUUGGACAAUGGGGGCAACCCUGAUCCAGCAAUUCUGUGUGCACGAUGAAGGUUUUCGGAUUGUAAAGUGCUUUCAGCAGGGAAGAAAAAAAUGACGGUACCUGCAGAAGAAGCGACGGCUAAAUACGUG